rnacentral:rRNA from 1 species
UAUAUACUGUCUCAUAUAUAUAUUUACGAAUUUAAAAUUUUAAUAAAAAUGUUAAAAUUUAUUUAUGGGACGAUAAGACCCUAUAGAAUUUUAUAUUAAUUUAUUUAUUUAAUUAAUAAAUAAUUUAAAUUAAUAUUUAAUUGGGAGGAUUAUUAAAUUUAAAAAACUUUAAUUUAUAUAAACUUUAAUUAAAGAAAAUUUUAUGAUCUUGAAUUUUAAAUUAUUAGAAUAAAUUACCUUAGGGAUAACAGCGUAAUAUUUUUUUAUAGAUCUUAUAGAAAAAAAUGAUUGCGACCUCGAUGUUGAAUUAAGA